UAGGGAAUAUUGGGCAAUGGACGAAAGUCUGACCCAGCCAUGCCGCGUGCAGGAAGACAGCCCUAUGGGUCGUAAACUGCUUUUAUAUAGGAAGAAACCCCUUGUUUCUACAAGGGCUGACGGUACUAUACGAAUAAGGAUCGGCUAACUCCGUGCCAGCAGCCGCGGUAAUACGGAGGAUCCAAGCGUUGUCCGGAUUUAUUGGGUUUAAAGGGUGCGUAGGCGGGACAAUAAGUCAGUGGUGAAAGCCUGCAGCUUAACUGUAGAAUUGCCAUUGAAACUGUUGUUCUUGAGUCCGGUUGAGGUUGAUGGAAUAUAUCAUGUAGCGGUGAAAUGCUUAGAUAUGAUAU
rnacentral:rRNA from 1 species